CUGAUGGCGAGUGGCGAACGGGUGAGUAAUGCAUCGGAACGUACCCGGAAGUGGGGGAUAACGUAGCGAAAGUUACGCUAAUACCGCAUAUUCUGUGAGCAGGAAAGCGGGGGAUCGCAAGACCUCGCGCUUCCGGAGCGGCCGAUGUCGGAUUAGCUAGUUGGCGGGGUAAAAGCCCACCAAGGCAACGAUCCGUAGCGGGUCUGAGAGGAUGAUCCGCCACACUGGGACUGAGACACGGCCCAGACUCCUACGGGAGGCAGCAGUGGGGAAUUUUGGACAAUGGGGGCAACCCUGAUCCAGCCAUGCCGCGUGAGUGAAGAAGGCCUUCGGGUUGUAAAGCUCUUUCGGCUGGGAAGAAAUCGCAUCUCCUAAUACGGGGUGUGGAUGACGGUACCAGCAUAAGAAGCACCGGCUAACUACGUGCCAGCAGCCGCGGUAAUACGUAGGGUGCGAGCGUUAAUCGGAAUUACU
rnacentral:rRNA from 1 species